rnacentral:lncRNA from 1 species
UUGGAUUUUAAGGGUUUUGGUUGUUUUUGUUUUGUUUUUUUCUUUUUUUCUCGUUGCAAUUUUAAGUGGUUUUCAAUAAGUAAUAGUUUCUACUCAGAUUUUUGGUGCUUUGGGAUAGUGGUGGGAUAGAGAAGGGUGAGUGGAUUGGGAAUAAAUAACUCAGUGUGCACCUGUAGGCCUCUCUAGGUUGGCUGCCGCCAGCCGUCAGGGAAGUCUGAGCUGUAGACCUGCAGACUCGGAUCUCUGUCUGUCUGCCUUCACUGCCCGUUAGAUUUUGUCUCAGGAUUACUUGAUUCCUUCUCAGCACUCAAGUGAGAACCUGAUUUUCUCUGUUAAUGCGACUUCAUUACAGAUAGCCCACAUAUUUGGAGUAUGAGAAAGUGGGUUAUUUUUUUAUAUUCUGACCCUCUUACUUUUUUGGUUGAAUGUAAAAAGUACAUAUUAAUGUUGCUUCAAUGAUUGUGUCAUGUAAAAUUACUUUUUAAUAUGAAACUGCUUUUGUUAAUUAUUUCUUCAAUGCGUGAUUGGCUUUUAAAAUACAGAAUUUGUCAGAGGAAUCAAUUUUGUCCACCCCUUCUCACUUUUAAUAAUCUCAGAGUGGAUCAUCUCAUCUUUUUAAAAUAUCUCAGUCUUUACUUUCAGCCAUUAAUUUGAACAUUCUUUUAAAAAAAAAAAAGAAUGAAGGAAAGAAAAAAAUUGUAUAAGCUGAAAGAUAAUUAUAGGUUGAAGUCAAAUCAGAAUUCCCUCAAUACAGAGCAACUAUUGGUAGGCUAGGCAGGGAAAUGCUAGAUUGGGACGUUUCAGAUGGGUUACCUUCAUGUUGGUUGAAUAGUUAGGUAUGAUGAUUUUCCAGUGGGUGUUUUCCCACUUACAUCUGAGGUGUAUUUUCACCUGAAUACUGAAUAAGGGAGGGAAAAAAUUAGGACUGUCUCCCCAAAUUUGCUUUUUUUUCCCCUCACACAGACAUUAUCUUAAUUUUCAGUGGCAUUUUAAAUUGGAUUGCUUCCUUUAUUUUGAGUUGGGAACUACUAUGUAAUUUAUUAAUUCAUGGCACUCAUAUCAUCCAGCAUAAGUGUAGCAAAAGUUUUUGAGAAUAGAAGGGAAAUCAUACUGGUGUUGAAUGUAAUUCUGAAGUAGGGAUGGCCUUUAAAUAUGAGAGAGAACAUUGAAAUCCUUUUCAGGGAUUUGUGUAGAUAUGUGUGCGUGUGUAUGUGUGUGUAUAAAUAAGUGUAUAUACAUACAUAUACUCUUUUAAUGUUAUAUAUACAUGUGCACAUUACAUACAUUUUAAUUUAUUGACAAAAUUAACAGUGAUUUGGGAACGUAAGAUAUGCUUGUUUUAAAAGAGCAUGUUUGAAGCCAUCAGAUUGUGUCUAAAAUUAGCUGUAGCAUAUGGAUGCUGUCCAUAUUUGAGCUCUUUACUGUUUAUUAUAGAGGUCUACAAUAUUUGUGUUGGCAUAGUUUUAAAUAUCAGGGUGGUGGGAAAAUUCGAUCUGUGUAUUUUUAUUUUAGCAUGCAGUAUUCAGUAUCUUUUAAGCAGUGGUUAAUUUGUGCUGUUGAUGCCUUGCUGAGUUAAUCUACUUUAUUUUUCACUUUUCAAGGUAUCCUGACUUUUACAAAGCAUAUAUAUUCAGGACUUAGAAAAUAGCAGUACACAUUUAAUAAUAGAGUUAUAUAUCAAGAUGUUUUACUUUGGGAUUUAGAUGUGUUUUGUGACAGAUGAGAAUAUACAAGUCAUGCAUUCUCUUAAUUGACAAUUUGUUAGAAUUUCAGGAUUACCUGGUAUCCCCAUAGAAUGUUAUGCGAUCUUUGGGACUAAAUACUACAAGCAGCUCUUUGUAGCAGUGUUUGCACUGAAUGUUUUAGAGUCAUGGUUGCUGUCUUUUUAGUUCCUUCUUUGUCUUUUCCUACUGUGGUGAUUAAGGGUCCUGUUGUGGUUUUGGAAUUAGCCCUUAUGAUCCAGGCAUAGUAGCACACAGCUGCAAUUGAAGCACUGGAGGAAACUGAUGGUUGUGACUUUAAACCCAGCCUGGACUGCAGACCAUGCUCCAUGCUAGUCUUGCUAAGAUCCUGUGUCCUUCCCUUUCCCCAGUUAAUCUACUAUCAACUUUAAAGUCUUCAUGUCAUCAAGCAGAGCAUUUACUUGAGUAUAUUAUCGUGCAGUUCCUCAUCUAGUCCCAUAAUGAUCUUUUGUGCCUCAGUGAAUCUACUUGUAAACUCCAAGCUUAUCUCUUAGAAAACCCAGUGUGUACUGCUAUUUUUAGAACCAAAAAGCAUGACUAUGAUUGGAGCAUUUUUCUCAGCCUUUCCUUUGUCUUGAUCUAUUGUCAAUUCGAAUAAAACUGCCAGACUUAAAAUACUCACUAUCGUGCUAAAACAAACAGUUUAGAUUGUACAUAACUUUGCAGUGUAACUCAGCUGUCUCCUUAAGGAUUGUGUUAGAUAUAAGACUGUUUGCAGUCCUUUUUUCAGAGCAAAUCCUAACAGGUACUUGUGAAUUGUUUUAAAAAUAGAAAAUUACAGAAAUCUUAAUUUGGGGUGGGAGCUUAAAGGGAGAAAAACAAAACAGGACCAAAGUUUAUGUGCCUUCUUCAGUAGUCUUAAUUGACCUUUUCCUAUUUGAGACUAAGGUAGCACUGGUAUUUUGGUUUUCAGGAAAUAUCUACUAUAUAGAUUAAGAGACUAUUGUCCCUCAAACUGGUCAUACAAGUGACUAGUUAUGACUGAGUUAAAAAGUCAGCUACACUUAUGCCUUCAGCAUUAUGUGUUACCAGUUGAAGAGCAGAACUGCUCUCGGUCUUUAUGGUAGUCACCGUAGCUUUCGCAGCUUGUCAGGGGCCUUGGUGUUGAUAGCAGUCAUAACCGAAAGCUGCUCAUAGCAAAUUUCACUUCACACUGUCAGCAGAGGUUUGUUGGUAUGUCCUUUGUAAGAACAGGUAUUUUAGGUAGGAGGUUUUUGGUUUUGUUUUUGUUUUGGCGUCUUUAAGACUAUCAUCCUCUAGUCUUUUUUGUUUCUUGGUUGUCUUUUGUUAUUUGUUUUUUUCCUUGCCACUCAUUGUUACCCAGAUCUUUAAAAACACAUCCCAUAUCCAGGAAGUACUAAUCACCAAGAUUGCUGACCACACCAAGUUUUACACUGAAGUUUCACCUCAUUGCUCUGACCAAAGACUGCUUGUUCUGGUUUUAACUCAAAGGUGAAGCAUUUUCCCUGAGCUCUUUCCUAAAAGAUCCCAUGCAGAGCGGCCUUGACUUUUCCUUUCCUAUUGGUGAAUAGACUACUUAGAGAAAAUGGGAGUUGACCAUGAACAGAGCGAGACAGAAGGAUGGACGGUUGUUUUCAGAACUGUAUUUGAGGAAGGAAUAGCACAGCUAGACGCCUCGAACAUUGUCUAAUGUUUUACAUGGUCUGUUCAUAAAAUUCCCUUUUCUGUUUGUAAGGAUGUUCAUCUAACAGAAGAAAAUGCUGUAAAUAUUUGUAACAACAUUUUUUAAACCAGGCCAAAAAGAAAAAAAAAAAAGGUUUUCGGGAACAAGUUAACAUAUAAAGUGGUUUUAUAUAAAACAGCGAUUGUCUUGUAUAUUUUGAUAAGCAGCAGUACCAGAUUUCAUUUGUAAUACAGUUUGUGGUAUUGGAAGAAAAGGAUUCUGUGAUUGUCUAAGUGAAUUAUGUUAUAAAUGCAAAGAGG